UGCUAAGCUUGUUUAAUCUAUAAAACCAUACCAGGCAUACAGAAUGAGAUAAUCAGUUCAAUUCAAGACAGUUUUACUUAUAGUACCAAGUCACAGUUGCCUCAAGGUACUUUAAUUUGCAAGGACCCUAAAAUAUAUAGACAAACCCCACCAACCAGAUGACACCCUGUGAGCAAGCACUUUGAAGACAGUGGGAAGGAAUAAUAUUGUUUACUAAAGAACUGAUAAGGAAUAAAAGACUAUCAUGGCAGCCAAGAACAUAAAAACACAGGUGUAAUCUUCACACAUGGGUUGUAGUAUAGCCAAAAAGGACAACAUUAUUACAAAUAUUUAAAAUGACAAACUAUUUAAGACCCAAGCGGGUCCAUAAAAGAGAUCAACUUAACAAAAUUCUACCCAAAAGCCACAACAAAACAUAACUCAAACUGACCUGCCCAAAUCUUCUUUCAUUUUUAAUGGCAGCUUGAAUCCAAAGAUGUUGCACUACUGCCAUCUCCUGGGUUUUACUGUUACAUCACUUCCAAAUCCUUAGAUCCUCUUGAUGAGUACAGUAUUUCUAAAAAAACAAAACAAAUAAAACAGAAACAAUAAACCACACACUUCCUUUUAUCAUGACUUAACCACUCAGCCACCUUUUCAAACUACAGUUUCUACCCUCAACAUUCUCAUUUGACUAACAUACUUCCUGCAACUAAUAAACACAUAUUCAAGCGUUUCCAUAGGCUUCUUCUUCUUCUUCAGUCAAGUUUAACGGCAGCUUGCAUCCAAAACUGUUGCAUUACUGCCACCUCCUGGCUGUUAAUCGUCCGUCAUUCCUGAAUCUUAGAUCCUUUUGAUGAGACCAGUAUUUCUCAAAAAACGAAAAACCACCACUUUCCCUUCACUUAACUCUUUAACCACUCGUUCAAACGUAAGUUCCCUUCCACCACUCAUUUCACUCCACAUCACCCUCCUGUGACCAUAGCUGGACUGGCCAUCGGGCAUACCGGGCAUUUGCCCGGUGGGCCGCUGGCGAUUUUUUGUUUUUAUGGGCCGAUGGUUUUUUUUUGUUUGUUUGUUUUUUAGGGUAUAUAUAAUGAAAGGUGUUGGAUUGGCCAAUUGGUCAUGAUCGACUCUGGGCUGGACCAAUUACAGCCGAGGAGGCCGGAUGCACCCGCCCCCUUGUUUAGCAAUCACGUGAUUUUCGCACAUUGCAUGCUGGGAACUCGUGGCAAAACAAUCCAAGUACCGCAUCAAAUGCAAGCAUUUGCAGCACCGCAAAAAGUUCAUUCUCCGGUUCCAAUACCUUCCUGUUUUUUAUUUGCCGCACAACAAAGGAAUGUACAAAACAAAAGGAGAAGAAUGGAAGAAUGACGGUCCGUACAAAGACAGA
ensembl:lncRNA